GUACUUCCCUGGCAGGGGAGAUGUGUUCGCUAAGGUGAGUUUCCCAGGGCAAGGCUUAUCCAUUGCACCCCAGAUGUGCUCACCCCUGUGAUUUUCCUGGAUGUGGAAAACUCGACUGCAUAAUUUGAAAAUAAAUAAAUGUUUUUUAACAAAAAGAAUUUCU